UAUCCCGUAAUAAUAUAUUCACUUUUCAGUCACCAAGCGAAACGAAGACGAUACCAUCUACGUGUGUAUAUAUGCAUAUAUUAUAGAUGCUACAUGUUAAAACAUAACACGUAACAUAACCGUGUCAACAAAAUGGUUAGAGUACUUCAUAAAGAGUCUGAACGAGUGUAGUAAUUUGCAAAUGAGGAUUAAUGACAUCUUCAGCAUCCGACAAGAUGGAGUUUUUCUAUGUUAUUGACGUGGACCGUCCCCAGUUCAAAUUAUCUACGCUUCUGUGGAUGACAGUACUGUUCGUGACUUUGAUGAAAACAAAAAUUUGGGUCACGGUCAAGAAAAAAAAAAAGUGGAAAAAAUUGAAUAUUUUUCAAUAGGAAGGAUACGAGGACAGUUACUCGUUCGGCAUGAGCACUUUCCUAUACCACGAUCAUGCUUACUUCGCAUAUUGGAGUCAUUGUUCAAGCCUAUGUCUAAAUAGCUACUAAGGUUUGGUCCGUGAUGGUUUUAAACAACAGAUUAGGAGGUUUUCGAUGAAACAACAGUACUGUGUAAUCAUAACGAAAAGCGUUGGAUCUUUUUCUUCACUUCAUGUCCCUGACAAAAUUUGAUGUACCUAUUCAGUUGGCUAGCCUGAAGCAAAUGUGCACAGGCUGCGAGUACAUGCGUAUACGCUGUAUGAUAUCUGGCAAUGAGGACGAUAACCAAGAAAUAAUAGUCCCUCUGUGGGUGUUGUACAAUGGGUUUUCGCGUACUUUAAAGCCAGAUAGUCACGUUACGUACAGCAUAAAGUGUAUGCAUAUAGUAGAAGCUGGCGCCACGGCGAGACGCCUGCGUUGACUGCGCCAAUAUGUAUCUCUGUAAUAUACGAGUUUGAAUAGGGUUAAAAAGCCUUUGGAAUCGUUUCUUUGCCGUGCCGUCCUGUAUCUACUAACCUGUUAUACUAGCCCUUGGAGAGCAUUGCCUUUUAUGCGUAGUUCAAGUAUUACGCUUGGACAUGUAAUGGCGGCUAUUGCUGUAUUUGAACAAGUGUAACGCGGAUCAGCUGUCAGACUGGGAAGGGUCCUGGUGAGUUGGUCAAAAAUAUCUAAGCGGUGACGAGUGGACCAUCUAUUAAAUUCAUGAGGCUGCGUGCGCCUGUCGUUAAUCGAGAUAUAAUACGGUGGAUGCGUCAUGUUAAUUGUGAAGGAGUGUAAAAGUGGGAAAUUUUUCUUGAAAAUUUUAGUCGAUGAACUAGCAUCGUUAGUGGGAACAACUAGGAGGUCCGCCAACAAGACAAUUUUACAGAUGAUUAUACACAGAGAUUGUUAGAGAUGGAAACUUCGCGAACUACCGCCAUUAGCGCGGUGCACGGAUACGUUAAAUUUUCAUCCCGCGAAGAAGAUUCCAAGAUGUCCUUCGGUCACGCGACAUCACGUAACCAGUUUCAGGUUUCAGUUCUGUCGACUAUUUCUGGAACGAGGCUAAAGAGAGGCGAGUGCAAUAGCGUCGGAGCGGCCACCCACCGUACCAAUAAAACUCCAAGAGCCAUGACGUUCCUAAAGUGAUCGUUGAUUGCACGCACCAGCAGUCAACGGAUAGAUACAAGUCGUUCUUUUGGAGAUACUUUAAGAUGAAAUAAGAGAGAGAGAAAAAAGUUGUUGCCAACCUAUCCAAUAUCCCAACCAUUGUUAAACAGGUUUGGCAUAUUGGCUUUGGAGGUUUGGCUAUGAUGUCAGUCCAUCUUGACACCCGAGAGCCACGUGGGCGAGCCCACAGGUAACACUAGGACUAUUUUUGAUUCGUUUUACAAGAUUCGAAAAUCAAAGGUUGGUAAGGUAACAAAUGAUCAAGACUCUAGCGGGAUUCGAACCGGCGACCUUUGGAUUUGAAAGCCUGAUCUACGAGUCCGGCACGCUAUCCACUGAGCCAGACAUCUUGAUUUAGAGUUUUACUUUUUUGACUUCAAAUGAAUUGUACGGUACCGAUUUAAAAAAAAUAAGUUAAGCAGUAAUUCAAAUCGAUUAAAGAAGCGUAACACGAGAAAUUACUUCUGUGACGUUACGCAAAUCCGUAAUUGAUUAAUUAACCAUAAAAAAUAACUGGUCGACAUUCUAUGCCGCUAAGAAACGUAAUCGAAUAACUCUGACGUAAAUGUUCUUAGAAAUCUUCCUCGUAAUGAAAGAAGUAAUUUGAAUUAAUUUGCUUCACGGUACAUUGAUUACUCUAGUACGAUAUAUCUUUUCUUUGGAGUCACUGAAAAUCAGCUGGAUCAGACUCGUGCCUCUUACAAUUUUAGAGUAUGAAAACAAAGACAUAACCUAACCUAACAUGAUCCAACUAAAUAUAUCGAGCGACGCUUAACUCUACCUUCUUUUUCAUACACGUAAACAUUUAUGCCUAAUCGUGUAAACCAAUUACACUUUAAAUCGUUUAUCCCGAAAAGAAAUCAUCAGGAUUUCCGAAAAACUUGAAUUUAUAACUGCUGGGAAAAGAUACGUAAUAAAUAUAGACUUGGCAGCCACACAAAAAUAUCUAAAACAGUCAUAACAAUCGCGCAAGAUCAAAGAACAAGAAAGUCCCAAUCCUUCCCUAGAUAUCACAGAUAGGAAUGCACUCCUUGCAUGUAAGAUCACAAAAUAAAGAAUUUCUGUGGUACGUCUGAGUGCUCAAAAGCGUAAGAUAUACAGGCGGCUCCACAAUCGGCGGUUAGUGGGCUGCAGUAUCAAUUUCAGAAUGCCUCCAGACUGGUCUGAGGAUCGAUAAGAAAAUAGUAUCUUAUUGAUCAUAUCUUUUCAUACACUAAUAACAGCACUGUCCUACGUACACAUAAAUACGUUUAUACCGAUAUAUACAUACGUAGAUAACCUAUAGUAAAAAGAAAACGAAAAUUGUUAUAAAAUUGUUUGCGACCCGGCACGUAUCAAG